AGCAGCCGCGGUAAUUCCAGCUCCAAUAGCGUAUAUUAAAGUUGUUGCAGUUAAAAAGCUCGUAGUUGAAUUUCGGGGUUAGUAGGUUGGUCGUGCCAAUGGUAUGCACUGGCCUCACUGAUUCCUCCUUCUUGAUGGACCUUAAUGCCAUUAAUUUGGUGUUUUGGGGAAUCUGGACUGUUACUUUGAAAAAAUUAGAGUGUUUAAAGCAAGCUAACGCUUGAAUACGUUAGCAUGGAAUAAUGAAAUAGGACGUUCGGUCUUAUUUUGUUGGUUUCUAAGAUUGACGUAAUGAUUAAUUAGGGAUAGUUGGGGGCAUUAGUAUUCAAUUGUCAGAGGUGAAAUUCUUGGAUUUAUUGAAGACUAACUACUGCGGAAGCAUUUGCCAAGAUGUUUUCAUUAAUCAAGAACGAAAGUUAAGGGGAUCGAAGACGAUCAGAUACCGUCGUAGUCUUUAACCAUAAACUAUGCCGACUAGGGAUCGGAUGAUGUUAAUUUUUUAAUGACUCAUUCGGCGCCU
rnacentral:rRNA from 1 species